AUUGAACGCUGGCGGCAGGCCUAACACAUGCAAGUCGAGCGAGCGGCGGACGGGUGAGUAAUGUCUGGGAAACUGCCUGAUGGAGGGGGAUAACUACUGGAAACGGUAGCUAAUACCGCAUACCAUCAGAUGUGCCCAGAUGGGAUUAGCUAGUAGGUGGGGUAACGGCUCACCUAGGCGACGAUCCCUAGCUGGUCUGAGCGGAUGAACAGCCACACUGCAACUGGGACACGGUCCAGACUCCUACGGGAGGCAGCAGUGGGGAAUAUUGCGCAAUGGGCGCAAGCAUGAUGCAGCCAUGCCGCGGGUGUGAAGAAGGCCUUCGGGUUGUAAAGCACUUUCGGCGGGGAGGCGUUACCCGCAGAAGAAGCACCGGCUAACUCCGUGCCAGCAGCCGCGGUAAUUC
rnacentral:rRNA from 1 species